rfam:Gossypium arboreum cultivar AKA8401 contig_13540_9, whole genome shotgun sequence.
AACCCAUGGUGAGGGUACCUUCUCAAUAAGUCUUUGUAUCUCUCCCAUGUAUCAUAAAAAGUUUCUAGGUCCAUCUGCACAAACAAAGAGAUAUCAUUGUGUAAUU